rnacentral:tRNA from 1 species
AGCAGUGUGCCAUAAUGGUAAGGUGCUGGGCUAGUAACUGAAAGGUUGCUGGUUCGAUUCCCCGCUGGGG